GAUGUACCCCAGGGCCCAGACUUCAGGCGCCCUCACAAUGCCGGCGGUUUGAGUACAAGCUCAGCUUCAAAGGCCCAAGGCUGGCAUUGCCUGGAGCUGGAAUACCCUUCUGGAGCCAUCAUGGAGACGCCAUCCUGGGCCUGGAGGAAGUGCGGCUGACGCCAUCCAUGAGGAACCGGAGUGGCGCCGUGUGGAGCAGGGCCUCUGUCCCCUUCUCUGCCUGGGAAGUAGAGGUGCAGAUGAGGGUGACGGGACUGGGGCGCCGGGGAGCCCAGGGCAUGAACAGUCCUGCCAUCCGUGUGCUGGCCAGCGAUGGGCACAUCCCCUCUGAGCAGCCUGGGGAUGGAGCCAGCCAAGCGCUGGGCUCCUGUCAUCGGGACUUCCGGAACCAGCCACACCCCUUCAGAGCACAGAUCACCUACUGGGGUCAGAGGCUGCGCGUGUCCUUGAACAGUGGCCUCACUCCCAGUGAUCCAGAUGAGUUCUGCAUGGAUGUGGGGCCCCUGCUUUUGGUCCCUGGAGGUUUCUUUGGGGUCUCAGCAGCCACCGUCACCCUGGCAGGUGAGGAUCCCACUGGGCAGGUAAGAGCAGAAGGGCAGUGACGAAUAAAUCACCCUCAGCACACCUUCUAAAGAGCACUGGGGUGGCGUCAGCCACUUCGCCACGGACCUGGGCCUCCAUGACCCUUCGGAAAAGUAAUGUCUGCCUUGAGACUUGCAAGUCUCAAAUGGGAUAAAACAAGAGAAGCUUUGAUUUCAGUGCUGGCCAUAUAAGUACUCCUAGCUGUGAGCUGCGGGACAAGUGGAAGACAGACAGCAAGGAGGGACAUUUAGGAAAAUGGAGCAAAGAGAUGUGACACCAUGGAGAGUCCAUGGAGGGUCCCACAGCGGGAAAGCCAAGGGCAACCAGAGCGUGGGAGUCCUUGAAUGCCAGGACCUUGGUCUGGCUUCUGAGGAGGAGAGUGACAUGGUCAGAGCUAUGCUGGAAAGGUGGCCACGGUGCAGUUGCUACUACCAGUAGCAGCUGUGCUCUGGGGGCCUAGAGAGUGUCCGUUGGUCUGCUGCCAUGGCUCUAGCCCGGGAUGUUUUGGGAUCAUCCAGUUCUGCCACAGGGGCCUGCCUCUGACUGAGUGUGAGGUUCAACCCUCACCACCCACCCAUCUACCUGUCAACCCUCACAUCUUCCUAUGAAGUGAGCAAGACAAGCAUCAGAUGGUGGCCCAAAGUCUCCCCUCUUGCCUCGGUGGGAUAUCAUGGCAGUGA
rnacentral:sRNA from 1 species